rnacentral:tRNA from 1 species
CGGUCGUUAGUGAAGAUGGAGAUCACGCGGGCCUGAAAAACCCGAGACGCAGGUUCGAUUCCUGCACGACCGGCCU